ACGCGAUUUUUUUUCUUACAAUUCAGAAAAAUGUCAAAAAAUUGAGCAGACAUUUUGGGGAAGCGAGAAGGCGAUCAAAAAAUUCUGCGAUGUUUUCAUAUAAUUGCAAGGGGUAGAAAAAAACACCUCUUAAAUCGUUUCGCGAAAAGUUUUUUACUUAUGCAUAUAAUACUUUUGAGAAAUCAAUUUUUGAUAGCUUGAUUCAUUUUGAACAAAUAAGAUCUCUCGUCAUUUCCUGCAAAGUGACAGUUUUUACCUAGUUGGCGUAUAUCAUGCUGACAUUAUAGAGAAACACCACCAAUUUUUUAUUGCCUAUAGAACAACUACAAAAUUUGAUUGAUGGUUACUAAGGAGAAAAUUAAACAUUUAUUUUCACAUGCCAUCUUCAGGGGGCUGCUCAAAAAAAUAUAUUUGAAAGACCCACUGUUUUUCGACCAUAAAUUAACUAGUCAUUUACAAAUUGCAUGAAUAUAUUCAUACAAUGUUAGUUUUAUAUUUAUAUUUCAUUAAUAUUCAUAUAUUAUAUUAUCCUGAUUCUCCACAGGUACCGAAGUACGCCUCAGAAGCUCCGUAAGCUUGUACGAGUUCGGAGAAUAAGUUUUGUUCUGGCUUACUGUGUCCUUACGCCACCUUAGGCGCAGCACUGUUAAUUCGAACACAACAGUGAAUGGUGGCUCGUACCCGUAUGGACAAGAAAAUUCCUUCUCUAGCCCAGGAUCGAACUCAGUACCUUACGGUUGCGAAAUACUGAGUCGACGCUUCUGGCUUCUAACCACCAAGCUACGGACGCUGUGUUUAAUGAAACAACUCUGAGUAAAAAGCAUCAACGAAAAAUGUAUCCAUGUUGUCUAUAGGGCCUUUUUUUUUCCCGACUUUUUCUUCUUGAGUUUACGUUUGGAAUAUAACGUAAAAUAUAAGAGUGCUGUCGACAGAGAAUUCAAUUUACCUAAGACCCAAGAACAUCAAGGAUACUGAACGAGCGCUGCAGAUUUUUGGUUUAUGUUCAAUUUUUGUCUUCACGAGUUUGGACUCACAGGAUUGAGAAUUGGUGACGUAGUUUUAAUAAUAGUUUCAAUCCUGCUGUUCAUCAAACUGGUAUGUACAGAUAAUUUCGCUUUCGAUUGCUGGUACCAAUCAAGAAUACCUUGUGACAUAGGAACUUUUCUAGUGAAGUUGAUUUUGGAGUUUUGACAUUAAUAAGUGAAUAUCUGAAUAUCUGAACCUAUAGAGUAAAUACACAUAUAAAUGAUCAUUAUUGUUUAAAUACAAAAUUUGUCAACUGAUCUUGAUCAAGUGAGGUGCACCUUCAAUAUUUUUUUGUGAAAGCUUUAAUAUUAUUACGUUACUACUUAAUGUUAGGCUCAAGAUUUUGUUGGAAAUUUCGCUAGAAUUGUGCUCGAAUUCGACGUUACAUAUUAAAUUCUUUUCAUAUUC